rnacentral:rRNA from 1 species
AUUGAACGCUGGCGGCAGGCUUAACACAUGCAAGUCGAGCGGUAGCAGGCCUUCGGGUGCUGACGAGCGGCGAACGGGUGAGUAACGCGUAGGAAUCUGCCUGGUAGAGGGGGAUAGCCCGGGGAAACUCGGAUUAAUACCGCAUACGCCCUACGGGGGAAAGCAGGGGAUCUUCGGACCUUGCGCUAUCAGAUGAGCCUGCGUCGGAUGAGCUAGUUGGUAGGGUAAAGGCCUACCAAGGCGACGAUCCGUAACUGGUCUGAGAGGAUGAUCAGUCACACUGGAACUGAGACACGGUCCAGACUCCUACGGGAGGCAGCAGUGGGGAAUAUUGGAAAAUGGGGGAAACCCUGAUCCAGCCAUGCCGCGUGUGUGAAGAAGGCCUUCGGGUUGUAAAGCACUUUAAGCAGGGAGGAAAGGGUAGUGGCUAAUAUCCAUUAUCAUUGACGUUACCUGCAGAAUAAGCACCGGCUAACUUCGUGCCAGCAGCCGCCGCGGUAA